rnacentral:misc_RNA from 1 species
AGCUUACCACGGUCCACGGCAGCUUUUCCUGCAUCGCUCCGUGGCCGCGCGCAAGUCGACCGAUCGCGCCAAAGUUUCGCCAGCAGGCUUCCUUCUUGAACUUGUCUCCCCUCCUCUUCCAGCUUCCACUCCAAUCAGCAGCUGGCGAGGGGCCGAACAGUGUCGCCUGGCUGCUCACCUCUCUGCUCCUUCCUUCGGCCUUUCCUUCCUUCCCUCCCUCCCUCCAGAGUCCGGAGCAGAGCUGAGAGCAGUCAACCGGGCUGUCGUCGGCAUUGGUGCGGUACGUGCGAGCCCGAGCGGUGCGACGCAGGGGGGGGG